rnacentral:rRNA from 1 species
UGGGGAAUUUUGCACAAUGGGCGCAAGCCUGAUGCAGCGACGCCGCGUGAGGGAUGAAGGCCUUCGGGUUGUAAACCUUUUUCGCUCAUGGUCAAGCCGCAGCUUUGGGUUGUGGUGAGGGUAGUGGGUAAAGAAGCGCCGGCUAACUACGUGCCAGCAGCCGCGGUAAUACGUAGGGCGCGAGCGUUGUCCGGAAUUAUUGGGCGUAAAGGGCUUGUAGGCGGUUGGCCGCGUCUGCCGUGAAAUCCUCUGGCUUAACUGGGGGCGUGCGGUGGGUACGGGUUGACUUGAGUGCGGUAGGGGAGACUGGAAUUCCUGGUGUAGCGGUGGAAUGCGCAGAUAUCAGGAGGAACACCGGUGGCGAAGGCGGGUCUCUGGGCCGUUACUGACGCUGAGGAGCGAAAGCGUGGGGAGCGAACAGA